AGCGAACGCUGGCGGCAGGCCUAACACAUGCAAGUCGAACGAACCUUUCGGGGUUAGUGGCGGACGGGUGAGUAACACGUGGGAACGUGCCUUUAGGUUCGGAAUAACUCAGGGAAACUUGUUCUAAUACCUAAUGUGCCCUUCGGGGGAAAGAUUAAUCGCCUUUAGAGCGGCCCGCGUCUGAUUAGCUAGUUGGUUGAGGUAAUGGCUCACCAAGGCGACGAUCAGUAGCUGGUCUGAGAGGAUGAUCAGCCACAUUGGGACUGAGACACGGCCCAAACUCCUACGGGAGGCAGCAGUGGGGAAUCUUGCGCAAUGGGCGAAAGCCUGACGCAGCCAUGCCGCGUGAAUGAUGAAGGUCUUAGGAUUGUAAAAUUCUUUCACCGGGGACGAUAAUGACGGUACCCGGAGAAGAAGCCCCGGCUAACUUCGUG
rnacentral:rRNA from 1 species